CAUGGUGAUCCAGCUUCCGGUUCCUGCCUCUAGCCUGUGCCUUCCUCACCAUGGUGUCCUUUCCCUCUGUCACGGCCUAGGCAAUGUCAGGAAGAGGAGCAGAAGGAAUACAAGAGCAAGAGAGGAGGGAAUGCCAUGAAAUUCUGCCAUCUGGAUAUGACACGAACAUUCCAACCAUGAGCACAAAGCGGCAAUGGAUAUCUGCCUAAGAUUGGGUCCUCCAACUUCCUCUGUCAGAAGAGUCAAGGAAAAGCCCCCAUCGACACUAGCUGAAAGGACACCUGGAAGUUGCCCACCUGCUUCAGAAAUCGGUGUUCUUGGGAGAUGUUUCGGCUACUUCUUUCUCUGCUGUGAGUCCUGGCCUCCAUACUCUGAGCUUUAGCCAUAUCACGUAUUGAGGGUUGGUCUGUUGCUAUGAAUUGCAAUGCUAAAUGCUGCCCCAGGUUACCUCAGGGAUGAGGAGAUCCUAUGUAUCCUUGCCCUCCAAGUUGUCCCUAGUUGGUCAAUAAAGAUGCCCACAGCCUACAGCUGGACAGAAGAAAGAUAGGCAUAGUUUCAGUUCCCUGGCUUGGGAUUGGAGGGAGGACCACAAGAGAGGGAAAAAGAAGGUGGAGAGAGGAGAAGAUGCCAUGGGGUAGGAAUCUUGAAAACGAGGCCAUGAGGGCUAGCCAAUUGGAGUGAGAGGGACCCAGAUGGAA